UACAGAGGGUGCGAGCGUUGUCCGGAAUCACUGGGCGUAUAGGGCGCGUAGGCGGCGGGGGAAGUCCAUGGUGAAAGCUCGCGGCUCAACUGCGAGUCGGCCACGGAUACUCUUUCGCUCGAGCACUGUAGAGGCAGAUGGAAUUCCGGGUGUAGCGGUGGAAUGCGUAGAGAUCCGGAAGAACACCGGUGGCGAAGGCGGUCUGCUGGGCAGUAGCUGACGCUGAGGCGCGACAGCGUGGGGAGCAAACAGG
rnacentral:rRNA from 1 species